CUCUAAUCUCAGCCAUUAAUAGUAACUAAUCAUAUAUCUCCAAAACUAAAUCUUCCCCGUGAAGCUCUCUCUCUCUCUUUCUCUGCAAAUCCCACGUCUGUGUUCAAGUCUUGCUUCGAUUUCUCCAAUCUCAAACCCUAAUUUCAUACAUAGAGAAGAUAGAAUUGAUGGAGUCGAGUCUUCCUUUCAAGUCGGUUCCUCAAUUAACCACAUGCACCUUCCUCUCUCUCUUUCAUUCCUCAGUCGAUCUGUGCUAUGAAUAUCGGUGGUCGGUUCAUCGCCAGUUCUCAACAGGAAGAGUUUGUUCUGAUCAAUACUGAUGGAGAUGCCAGAAAUUCAUCGAGAACAUCUCCUGUUCGUCUUUAAGUUUCAGAUGACACGUAAUUCUACAAGAACAGCUUGCUAGCUUCUAAGAGUCUGGCCAGAAGACAGCGAUCAUGGUUUGUUCUCUGAUCUUCCAGAGAAAGAUCUGAAGGUCGGAUGGUCGAGGAGAAGACAAUAUAUUAACUAGAGUUUUUCUUGUGGCAGGUGGACAAACGAGCAUCAGGGAGACGAGGAGGAUAUAAACGUCGAUUUGACUGAACAGAAGAAAGCCAAUGACGUCGAUUCCAUCAGAAUCCAUCAAUAUCAUUGGCUUUGAGUUUCAGGUGAAUGUCCAGUGGUGAAAGGAAACAAAUGGUCAUCCACAAAAUGGUUCCAUGUCCACGAGUUCAAGGUUUAGAUUAAGAAAAAAAACUGAAGUGAAGUCGAGAAAAGAAAAAAAUUGAUAGGAAAGGGGAAAACAAGAUUUUAUUGUUUUGAAGUCUAAAGUGUAAUUUAAAAUUUGGAUAUGUGAUGUUUGUUGUUUAAAACGUCUUGCUUUAGACUAUAUGAUUAUUAGGUAUUAAUAUGUACAAAAUAAAAUAUUUAGAUAACUGAAUUUUGUUAGGUAUUGUUAAGAAAACUAAUUUUGAAAAGCAUGUUUACAAAUUAUUUAAAAA